GAAGCAGCGGGCGCCUUCACCGGCGCGGCCCUCGGCGAUCGCUUUGUUUGUAUGUGUCGCGCGCACGGUUCAACUUUUGAAUACCGUGGCUGCGCGUUGUCGCAGUGCAGUGAUGAUUAUAUGCCAGUGCUCAUCGUGAAACUGCACAAACCGCGUCACUGCUGAUGGAGCUGCCAUGUACGUGGAUGGCGGCGCCCGAGAAGACCUUUUCUGAAGAGAAUGCGUGCCUGGCGAUUGUCACUUGCAGUCGCAACUUUUACAAAGUGGCAGCUGGCCUCCAUGGGGCGGUGCAGACAGGGGACUGUCAUUGCUGGAGCACCUCGUGGCUAUCCACAGGAAAUGGAAAAAACAUGCUGUUUUCACAACGCGGACGACACCGUGUCAAAGGAAGUUAUGGAAAAG
rnacentral:lncRNA from 1 species